rnacentral:lncRNA from 1 species
CUGUGAUAUAACUGUCUUGUAAGUAAAACGAAUAGCCAUCAUUUAUACUUUUACCAGCCAGAGAAAACCAGUCAAUGUACAAUUAUCUAUAUAUUUUUUGGCAAAGUGGUUUCAUAUAAUUCACUUUUUUACUUAAAAUAUGAACGUUAAUCAGUUUAGCUAUUAAUUCCACAUGUAUUUUCCCACGCCCUAUUCUAGACCCUCAGGAUACCAGAAUGAGAGACCAACAUGACCCCAGCCCUUACAGUCUGUGCGUUUCUUCACAGGUGCAAAGGGGAGGACCUCUUGCCUGGAGAAUUCAGGAUGGGGUUAAGAAGCAAAGAAAAAUGUGACUAGAGAAAGUCAAGAGGCAGUUGGAUGCAGCUAGGCUGUUGGAAAACGCAGUAUGUGGAGCAGAACCAAACUGAUGUCAUCAUGGCAGGGGCCAUGCUAGAGAAGUCAACAACCGGCCAGUCCCCAGACACGUGAGCAAGCCCAGUCAAAGUCUGUGGUACCAUCUAGCCACCUGGUAGCCUUAUCAGCAAUAAUAGAUGGUGUUGUUUUAAACCGUCGAGUUAUGAGGUGAGUUACUUAACAUUGUUGUGGUAAUAGAUAACCUACAUGCAUAUCAAAGGUUCCAAGAAGUCCAUGGAAGUCCAUGUUUCCAAGAAACAUAUUUUUACUUGGGAUAAGCUAGGGCUUCCCAAAUGUAUUUUUCUGGCAUAACAAUUAACAUCCUGCAGAACAGUGUUG